CCCUUCGGGGACAUUGGUGACAGGUGGUGCAUGGUUGUCGUCAGCUCGUGUCGUGAGAUGUUGGGUUAAGUCCCGCAACGAGAGCAACCCUUGUCUUUAGUUGCCAUCAUUAAGUUGGGCACUCUAGAGAGACUGCCAGGGAUAACCUGGAGGAAGGUGGGGAUGACGUCAAAUCAUCAUGCCCCGUAUGCUUAGGGCUACACACGUGCUACAAUGGGUAGUACAGAGGGUUGCCAAGCCGUAAGGUGGAGCUAAUCCCUUAAAGCUACUCUUAGUUCGGAUUGUAGGCUGAAACUCGCCUACAUGAAGCUGGAGUUACUAGUAAUCGCAGAUCAGAAUGCUGCGGUGAAUGCGUUCCCGGGUCUUGUACACACCGCCCGUCACACCACGGGAGUUGGAG
rnacentral:rRNA from 1 species